AUUGAACGCUGGCGGCAGGCCUAACACAUGCCAGUCGAACGGUAACAGGAAGAAGCUUGCUUCUUUGCUGACGAGUGGCGGACGGGUGAGUAAUGUCUGUGAAACUGCCUGAUGGCGGGGGAUAACUACUGGAAACGGUAGCUAAUACCGCAUAACGUCGCAAGACCAAAGAGGGGGACCUUCGGGCCUCUUGCCAUCGGAUGUGCCCAGAUGGGAUUAGCUAGUAGGUGGGGUAACGGCUCACCUAGGCGACGAUCCCUAGCUGGUCUGAGAGGAUGACCAGCCACACUGGAACUGAGACACGGUCCAGACUCCUACGGGAGGCAGCAGUGGGGAAUAUUGCACAAUGGGCGCAAGCCUGAUGCAGCCAUGCCGCGUGUAUGAAGAAGGCCUUCGGGUUGUAAAGUACUUUCAGCGGGGAGGAAGGGAGUAAAGUUAAUACCUUUGCUCAUUGACGUUACCCGCAGAAGAAGCACCGGCUAACUCCGUG
rnacentral:rRNA from 1 species